UAGAACUUUCUAAACACUAAUUUCUUGCUUUUUGUGUUUCUGGUUUGAAUGUUAAUAUCCUUAGGACAAACUAUCAGUGUAGCAGUGUCGGAAGCUGAACUAGAAAUGUUUAACUUUCAAUUACAUAUGACAUAGAUAUAGGAAGAUGUGGUAUGAGUGCCAAUAAGACAACUCUCCAUCCAAAUAACAAUUUAUAAAAGUAAACCAUUAUAAGUCAAUGUACGGCCUUCAACACGGAGCAUUGGCUCACACCGAACAACAAGAUAUAAAGGGCCCCAAAAUUACUAGUAUAAGCAGGGGCGGAUCCAGCCAUUUUAAAAGGGGGGUUCCAAUCCCCGGACCCCCCCCCUGGAUCCGCGCCUGCUAAAACAAUUCAAACGUUUAACUCGUGUGCCAAGAUCAUCAAAUGAUACCCUUAAACUUUCAAGAUUAUCAAUGGUGAUAUUGGAAAUUUUCAGUGACUUAUGAGUGAAUUUCGUCGAAGCCCCUAUAAUCACUUCCUUUAUGUAUCAUUAUAAACUAUAUGAAUAAUUUGAUAUUAGUCUGCUGCCAGAUAAUUAAGGAUUGACGAAAAGGGGGAUUACAUGUAUAUAGAAUUGAGUGUACAUAUACACAUGGAAAAGGUAUUGCCACACUUCCACUGAAGACAAUGUAAAAUGACUUGAUUGUAGGAUUUGUAUAAUUUGGGUUUUGCCAAAUACUUUUAAACCGUUUAUGUUUUAAAAUUGAAUUUGUAAUAUUAACUUUCAUUUUGUGGAAAAUUUAAGACUGGAGAGUUGUACUGAUAAAACUAUUCAAGCUUUGUUUUGUCUUCUAAACCGACAUUUUAUAUAAAAGUAAUUUUUGCA
rnacentral:lncRNA from 1 species